rnacentral:rRNA from 1 species
UACGUAGGUGGCAAGCGUUAUCCGGAUUUAUUGGGCGUAAAGGGAACGCAGGCGGUCUUUUAAGUCUGAUGUGAAAGCCUUCGGCUUAACCGGAGUAGUGCAUUGGAAACUGGGAGACUUGAGUGCAGAAGAGGAGAGUGGAACUCCAUGUGUAGCGGUGAAAUGCGUAGAUAUAUGGAAGAACACCAGUGGCGAAAGCGGCUCUCUGGUCUGUAACUGACGCUGAGGCUCGAAAGCGUGGGGAGCAAACAGG